AACUAGGCGAGGGGGAGCUCCAUAAGGGGGCUGAGAGGAUCCGGAUGGAUCGACCCCUGGAACCUGAUCCGGGUAAUACCGGCGGAGGGAAUCGUAUGAUGAAUGAGA
rnacentral:ncRNA from 15 species